AAUCCAUGUUGUGGGCAUGAGCUGAUAAGAUCCUUGAACUGUUCCGAACAUUGGAAGAAGGUCUCAUCUUCCUUUUGGGUGAAGUUUAUGAUUGACUUCCUUAUGGU